GACGAACGCUGGCGGCGUGCUUAACACAUGCAAGUCGAACGGAAAGGCCCUGCUUUUGUGGGGUGCUCGAGUGGCGAACGGGUGAGUAACACGUGAGUAACCUGCCCUUGACUUUGGGAUAACUUCAGGAAACUGGGGCUAAUACCGGAUAGGAGCUCCUGCUGCAUGGUGGGGGCUGGAAAGUUUCGGCGGUUGGGGAUGGACUCGCGGCUUAUCAGCUUGUUGGUGGGGUAGUGGCUUACCAAGGCUUUGACGGGUAGCCGGCCUGAGAGGGUGACCGGCCACAUUGGGACUAAGGUACGGCCCAGACUCCUACGGGGGGCAGCAGUGGGGAAUAUUGCACAGUGGGCGGAAGCCUGAUGCAGCAGCGCCGCGUGCGGGAUGACGGCCUUCGGGUUGUAAACCGCUUUCGCCUGUGACGAAGCGUGAGUGACGGUAAUGGGUAAAGAAGCACCGGCUAACUACGUG
rnacentral:rRNA from 1 species